rnacentral:tRNA from 1 species
UCGAUUAGGUGUUUGUUACAUAUCAGUUUUUCGUACUGGGGUAGAUCCGGUAUUAGGGGUUAAUCGGUGGU